AUGAAACCAGCAGAUGAGAACUACAGUCAAAUCACAAUUAAAAACCCAUUUGGAUUCAUAGAUGAUUCUGACACUUUUUCCCCCUCCCGUCCCUAUGCAACACUUAGCAACUUUUACGGCUGGCAUCGUCUCGUGCCAAGAACAGUGAGGAUGCUCCGGGGGAGAACCAGCGGCUACUUUCUUCUGGUGUCGGUUGAGAAGGGAAGGGCUGAGUACCCCCAUUUAUUAGCUUCUCAUUACAGCAUCAAGCGUUAUGAAAUGGCCAUCUGCGGAAGGAUCGAUGAAGGAGCUACAAGCCAAUGUGUACAAUUCCCGAGAUAUUCCAAGAUACCUGUAACAGCUCUGGAUGCUGAUUUUUUGCCAGUGCUAUUUGACGAUUUGAUCUGACUAAUCUGAAUUUGCGGGCGUGUAUUGCAUGGAGCACUGGGUUUGAUGCAUAAACAAUGAAUCUUGGAACACUGAAAAAAUAAAAUAAACUUUAAAUAUAAAAAAAAGUCA
rnacentral:lncRNA from 1 species